AUUGAACGCUGGCGGCAGGCCUAACACAUGCAAGUCGAGCGCGCGACGGACGGUUGAGUAAUGUCUGUGAAACUGCCUGAUGGAGGGGGAUAACUACUGGAAACGGUAGCUAAUACCGCAUACCAUCAGAUGUGCCCAGAUGGGAUUAGCUAGUAGGGGGGGUAACGGCUCACCUAGGCGACGAUCCCUAGCUGGUCUGAGAGGAUGACCAGCCACACUGGAACUGAGACACGGUCCAGAAUCCUACGGGAGGCAGCAGUGGGGAAUAUUGAACAAUGGGCGCAAGCCUGAUGCAGCCAUGCCGCGGGUGUGAAGAAGGCCUUAGGGUUGUAAAGCACUUUCAGCGGGGAGGCGUUACCCGCAGAAGAAGCACCGGCUAACUCCGUGCCAGCCGCCGCGGUAAUAC
rnacentral:rRNA from 1 species